rnacentral:misc_RNA from 1 species
UGUAUGUUGGCGUCCUGCCUGUGAUGGGUGGGGUUGAGGGCAUGCUGUUGGGUUGUGGGGUAUCACAUGUGUGGUGGCCUGUGCGGUGCUGUGUUGCGUGCGUGUGUGCGUGGUGUGGUGUUCGUGUGGUGGUUGAGAACUGUAUAAUGCAUGCAAGUAUCUUUAUUGUUGUAUGUGUUUGUGCGACGUGGUGUUGUGCAAAGUUGUGUAGUGCGAUCGGUGGAUGCCUUGGCACCAACAACCAAUGAAGGACGUUGUGACCUGCAAUAAUCCCUGGGGAGUUGGUGAGCGAGCUGUGAUCCGGGGGUGUCCGAAUGGGGAAACCUGGAAUGUCCGGAGUACUGUCCGGUGGCCCUGCCCUGAAUGUAUAUGGGUGUGGGUGGUAACGCAGGUAAGUGAAACAUCUUCCCACCCGUAGGAACAAACAACAUGAAA